AUUUUGGUCUUUUAAAGCUCACGGUUCAUUCUUCUAUUCCUUCUCAGUUCUCACUCCAUUAACAUUUUUACACCGCCUUCAUCAGAUUUGUUUGGUUUUUAUCUCUUCCCAGUUGUCUCUUACCAAAUUAGCUAAUGGGUGACAAGAAGAAGGCUGGUGCUCUAUUCGUGAGGCUUGUUUCAACUGCUGGAACUGGAUUUUUCUAUGUGAAGAAGAAGAUCAAAACACUUCUAACGAAUCAGACGAAGCUUGAAUUUAGAAAGUUUGAUCCUCAUGUGAAUUGUCAUGUUCUGUUCAAGGAAGAAAAGAUGAAGUGAUGCAAACACCAAACUUUUUGCCAAAUCCUCUUUUUAAUGGUUAAGCUUUCAUUUUUUCAGCAGCCAGUUGUGAAAUUAGACAAUAGUUCCUUUUGCUCACUUGUGCUACCACAAUAAAGUUAGUUUGUAUAGUUCUAUGGAAUUCUCUGAAUUCGUUCGUAAUCAUAUUGAAUGAAACAUAUAGUUAUAAAAGAUUUGACUUUGAACAGACAAUUCCAUCAAUUAACAUGUUUGAUUCUUUAGGUCGAUUUGAUUUGAUA